GGCGGCGGCGCCCCCUCUUGGCCGAGCCAGCAGGUGGGCGGCUCCCGGGCCUCCUGCCCUCCGGCCUUGAGCUGAGGCUGGAGAUACAAUGAUGAAUAAGACGGAUAUGGUGCCUGCCUUCUUGGGGUCUACAGUCCAAAGGGACGUGCAGAAGAGCAAACAGACCUGUACGAAGGGUGAAUAGCCUCACACCAUUCCCAGCUGCUUGGAAGAGCAUAUGCGAAGGCCUAAAGGCAAGACAGACCAUGGUGCAUUGGAAGAACUAGAAGGAAACUGCAGCAUGGAAUACAGCAAGGUUACAGGAGGUCUGGCUUCUAUGCCAUAAAUGUGUUCAUGAGAUUUAUCCAGGAUGUUGUAUCAAGAGUUUGCUCCUUUUCAUGGCUGAGUAGCACUCCAUUGCGUGGAUAUGGCACCGUUGGUUUCUCCAUUGUCCUGUUGAUGGAUAUUUGGGUUGUUUCUCUAGUUUGGACCACGAUGAAUGAAGCUGCGUGAACAUUCAUAUAGAAGUCUUUGUGUGGACAUAUGUCUUCAUUUCCCUUCCAUACAUUCCUGGGAGUGGAACGGCAGGGUCACAAUGUAAUGUUUUUACAAUAUGUAUUAAGUAUCAUCCUCAUCCUCUGCUUAACCAUUCAAUGGUUUCCUGUUGCCCUCGGAAUAAAAUCCAAACUCUUCACCAGGGUCUCUGAGGACAUACCUCGGAUCUUGUCUUCCACCAGUCUCCCCUCUCAUCACACUCCAGCCACACUGGCCUUCAUUCUGUCCCCAGAUCAUAGAAAGCUAGUUCUGACUUUGGAACCUUUGCAGGUAUGACCCCCGCCUUUCUGGAAUGUUCUUCCCAGAUCUUGGCAUGGCUGUUCCGGCUCAUCAUUGAGGUCUCAGUUCAUAUGUCACCUCUACGGGUCCUGAACAUUUUAACUCAAAUCUCUCUCCAUCCCCCAUCAGGCCCUAUCCCAUUAUCGUGGUUUAGUUUAUUUACUUUCACCUUCUGACAUUAUGUUCUGUAUUUAUUUGUUUACCUGUUUAU